UGACCCUGGUUUUUUUCUUUUCCAUCAACACCAACACAACCACCCAACACCGCCUCAUAAACUUCUCUCCAGGAACAAGAGCAACGACUCUCGGCCCCCCUCUCCAGCCGGAUUCCGGUGGUAACGAGACAAAGAUAAAGGUUCGGGGUUUCAAGACCAGAUCGGUACCACAAAUCCACAUCAUACAAUCCAGAGAGAGAACCAUCCGCCACCACCGCUCCACCACUGCUGUAUUAGCUUCCCCGCCACUGUGACAGCCACCGCCGCCGUAUCUACGGCAGCAAGGACACGUAUUAGUUGAUGAAAGAUUCUGGGGGCGAUUAACGACAGUCACGAUAAAGGGUUUAAAUGGAGGUUAGGUCGAUGGCGUGGGGUGGUUGAAUCGUCUCAUCAGGCGACGAUCUCAAACCCUAUGUGUGGUUAGAUGACUGAUGAUGGUGGAUUUUCUAGGGUUCCAGCGACUUUUCAACAACUUUCUGGUGACCGAAUUUAGGUAUGCAUGUUUCAUUUUCGUUUAGAUCUGCUUAGUACGUUUGUUGAUUUUCCCGUAUUUCUCAAACCAUAUUUUGGGUUGGUUUUAGUAAGAAAAGUGUGCUUUCCACUUUUGUGGAAGAUGAAGAAUGAUAUACAGGUUGCUUUGUCUUCGGAUGUUUGAAAUACGAGGUCAUUCAGGUAUAGCAAGACAUGGUUAGAAAGGUAUUAUUUUUUAUUUUUAUGGAAUUGAAUCUUGAUGUUGGUUUGUGAUUUUUCUAUAAUUUAGUUGCAUGUUAGGCUGAUUAGGCUUUCUUAUUAUGAUGUUUUACUUUGUAGAUUGUUUGUGAUAGUUAUGGUAUAUGUUUAUAAGUUUUGCGAGGUUAUUUAUGAAUAGUUUGAUGAUUUAUUGUCAAAGUAAAGUGAUGAUGAGGAUUUGAUGUGAUGAUGGAUUUUUUUGAAUUUUUUUCGUCAAUUUGUUUGAUCGUGCGGUUAAUUAUUAAACCGUUAAUUGUUUAUUUGUAAGCUGAUUUGCUUUGUAGAUUGUUCAUUUGUUUGUGAUAGUUAUGGUGUUUAUUUAUUAAUUUGGGAGCUUAUUUAUUAUUAGUUGAUUUAUGGAUAAAGUGUAGUAAGAUGUUUUGCUUUGUGGAUUGUUUCACGUACAGCUCCGAUCUAUUUUGUGGCCGGUGAGGUUAAGAACUUACGAUCCACCUUCAUGAUUUGUUUUAUAAACCUGGUUAUGUAAAUUUGAUUUGUUCCACCGACUUAACACAUAAAUCUAACGUAGAUUCGUCGUGCCAUUGUUGCUGUAAGUUGGGUUUUGUGGUUUUGAUUAUUAUAUUUCUGUGAAUGAUUGAUGAUUAUAUGCUGGAUGAAUUGUGGGUUGUUUGAUGUAGAUUGGAUCAGUUCUUGAGUAUGCGAAUCAGAAUCCGGUGUUCAGCUUCUUGAAUUCGGAUAGUGUAUUUCAUACUGGUCUCCCAGUUGCUGUUGUCGCGGGAUACGGUGCCAGAGCUUGCUACGGCGGAGUUUAGUCACGGAGAGCUGGUGGUUACGGUGCCGAACGAUGUUGAUUUGGAUUGGAGUGAAGGCAAUGGAACUGGAAGGCCGUGUGUUGUUAUAGUAGUAUGAAGUUAUGAAUAUAAAUAGCUUUUGUUGUUUGAAUUUGGUUAGGUUUGUCAAGUAUAAUUGGAUGUUGUGGAAGUAUGACAAUUAUCGGCUUCAAUGAGUAUGUUGCAAACGUUUUUGAUGUUGAUGAUGUUUGUGCGGUUUUGAGGCUUU